GAGUGAUUUCUUCAGUGCUGCCAUUCCAGUGAAUAUUGCAGUAGAAUCUCCUUCCAUUUUAGUCACCGUGCUGGAGUAAGUUCUCUGGUUGUGUCUCCUGUCAUCAAGUGGCACCCCAUCCAGAUGUCUGCAAGGAGGAGAUCUCCUUUGACCUGGACAGUUUGGCUUCAUCUUGGAUACCUUUUGACUUCAAAGAUUUAAUCGUGAUCACCAGUCAGAUCUCUAUGUCAUGGGCUUCAAAUCACUAGCAGGGAGACUGCUACAAUUUCAGCUGCAACAUUUGAUGUAUAAAUCCCUUAUCCCAUCUGUUCGCUUAAUCCAGGAUUCUGAAACACGUUCAGGGAACAGAAAAGGUUCCUGUCCUGCUGUCUGGGGGAGAGUUUUGGUAGCCUGCCCGGCCAACCCUAGCCCAGAGUACUCCCAGGUGUGGGAACAAGGCUGCCCACCAUCGCAUUGGCAUCAACAUAACUGAUAGCUCUCAACAUGCUGCAUCAGCGAAAGCACACAGACAAAUGAGGCUGGCCAUGGAGUCACACCAGCCUCAGCAGGACCUGUACAGAUCAGCUGUGAUCACCAGGGUUGCACAACCUUCCACAAGUGAGAAGUGGACUCUGGACAGCGAGAUAUGCAUUACAAGAUAAAGCUGUCCUGCUAUGCCACAGCAGUUGAAGAGUCUGAGCAUGCCUCAGUGGCCCUGCGCUCCCAGCACACAAAGCCAUCUGCAGCCACCAGUCAUUUGGAGCAGCCUCUCACAUGCUGGCUUUCCUACAGGGAGUUUCUCACAGCAGGAUCAGCCGCCCUUCCAGCACAUCACAGGUGUUCUCCACAUGGCAUGAGCAGGCUCACCUCUGCAGUUGUGCCCGACUGAGCAGUGCCAGCAAAUAGAGGAGCGCGGUGCCAGACUCAUACAGAGUGGUACGGGGUCAAGGCAAGGCUUUUUGCUGGGAACAGGGUGUGUGCGGGCUGAAAAGCACUGAGGAGGAACUGAGGCCAUGGCUGAUCCUGGGGGGUGCGCAGAUCAGCUCUGCAGGCGAGGUUAGUGCCUUUGCUCCUCUGUCAUCACCAGUCCCUGAGAGCAAUCACCACCCACCAACAGUUCCUCAAGAUAAGACCGAGCCAGCUGGGAGAAGAAAUCCUUUGAUAUUUCCCUGCCUCGCUGACUGCGUUUUUCACAGCUCACAUCUCAGAGAGGACCAGCAGAGAUGACUGGGCACGUAAGAAUAACACUGGAGUGGUAUGCAAGGAAGGUGCUAAUCUUCUGCCAUGUGUGUAGGGCCUGGGCAGAAUGAGGCAGAGCGCAGUGCUGGAGUCUCCCUGAUCCUCCCAUGGAUAUCAGCAGCUGCCACACCUGGAGUCUGCAGCAAAGCUCCUUCCUCCAGAGGCCAAGAGCUGAGCCUACUGUUUCCAGCAAGGAAUCUUACGAUCUAUUUAUUCUCAAGAUUAAAUUUCCCUGUCCAGAACAUGUAUCAAAAAAGUCCUCCCAAACACAGAACGUGCUCAGAGAGAAGCCUGCGCUUGCUGGGGGACUUGCUGGUGGGGCAGUGCUGUGUGGAAGGGCUGUGCUCACACCAUGAGAUGAGGCCAUCUAACAGAUGAAGCAUGCAGGAUUUGCACUGACCGACGCCUGCACGGCUUCAGAGCUGUUUAUGGAUGUAAGGCUUGUCGUGGCUCUUCUCCCAGACACCUCGCUGCUGUCACAGCUCAGCGUUUGCCAUAUGUUUCAGCCCAGUGCUCGAAGCCUAAUAAAAAUGUCUAGCUGUAAAUCACCAGAGGUGUAGGCUGUGACCCUCUUUACUCCUACCUCUUCCACCACCUCUCAGCCACCCUUUUCCAGAUACUGGAAGCAAUAUAGCAAGAGUGAUUCUCCCAUCGGCCUUCUGCCAGAGCAGUGAUGCCAGAACACAGCUGUUUGCAAUUGCAUGGGGAAAGCUGUGCUGGGCUGAAAUGCAAAAUGAGGCCAAUGUGUCCCCACGGUCGCUUCUUCAGGAUACUUCUUUGUCCCACUUGGAGACAGAAGCUCCUGCUUAAGUAACCCUGGGGACUUGGAUCAGACAUCAUUAAAAGCAGUGGGGCAGCCAGCCCAUGGGGAGGCAGUGGCAAAUGCGGUGCGAAUGAUCAUGUCCUGCAUGGGACAGACCAGUGCCAAUUUUGAGAGCUAUUGAAGGAAGAAACUGCUCCAAGCAGAUUACCAAGGUGACAACGAGUGCAGCUGUGGAUUUACUCAGCUAAUCAGGAAACACUUCCUUGCUGCAGAGUGGGGAAACUGAACUGUGCUGCUGAACAGGUGAUGUGCAAUCCUCCACUGUCUGUCUGCAUCGCCACAAGCAGGGCUGUGCCCUGAGAUUGCAUUGCUCUUGCAUGCCUUGCACUGCUCUACCUGCCCCUGCUUCAGGGAGGGAAGGAGCAGAGCCUGCCAGCACUUCUGCAGCAAAAAGCGGUGCACUCUCUGGCUGAUAAUUUCCCUACUGCUGUUGAUUUGUGUCCUGGGCUAUUGUUUUCUAUAAAAUGAGGUAUUGAGCUGCUUCCGAAUCAUUUUUAUGCUGUGUGUUUGACUCUUUCAGGAAGCCAGCCCUCCUAAGAGUCAUUAGUACAGGGUAAAGCCUCUCUGCCACCACAGCCUGCUGCAGUUAAGUCAGAGAGAAACACUACUUAUUUCCUUGGCGUGAAACAAAUUCCUUGUGACGGAGCAGCUGAUGAAUUCAGGGGUUUAUCAAGAUCAGAGUGAAGGUUUGGGGGGGAUAUAAGUAUCUUUGAAGUUGCAGUGUAACAUGUCUGCAAAGCUCAGUGUUUAAAGUGAGACGCUGUGUGCAGUCCUUAGAUCCUCUUGUGCUGGAGAUGUUGUCAGUCCAAGUAGCACUUGAUGUAAGUGGUACGUUCUUGUGGCUCACUGCAGCAGAAGCAGGAGACUCUGCUUCUCUUGCUAUGUGUUAUUUGAACAGUCAUCAUCUCAAUAUGAAGGGCAACUUCCCCACUCCACUUUCCCUGCCUAUCUCUCUUGAAAUCUUGUAGCCCUCAGUCAUCAUGCUCCAGUCUUCCUUGGGUGAGGAUACAUAGAAGGGAUUUGUUUCUACAGGGGAGAUGGAGUGGAGGAAAAGUUGAACAGCAUGGAUAAGUCAGGGCUCUGGACAGAUGGUUGGAUGUGAUACUGCUCCCGUUCUAGUUGGCUCUGAAAUAGUAGAGGGGCUUAGUAAGGAGGGUGAGAAAUGCCUGCACAUCAUUAUUUUUCAGUAAUUCUCCUAUAACUUCAUGCGUGGAGACUUUUGGGUCUCUCUCACUCUACUGUGGAGGUGGAACAUGCUCUCACAAAUCCUAAAAUGAGUGUGCUAUCAGCUGAAAUUGGGAGGAGAGAUGUAGUUGUGGUAAUUUAGAGUUGUGAUAUUAUUUAGAGUUUCUGGACAGAAGAAUAGGGUUAGCCCAUUCUCUGGGUGCAGGUAUUGCAGAAACAAACACUGUGCUGUAAGCUUAACAUGUUUGAAGCUUAACCUGUGCCCCUGUGAGACGUCUCUACAGUGAAUCUGUCAGUUUUCAGAAGCAAAAUAUCUUGUCCAUCAACAGCUAGGGGUGAAUUUUCACACAUUUCUCUUAAUUCUCCCCAAAAUUGUUUUAAUUACCUUGAAGAUAUUGUCCAUUUCUUCAGACCAGUAUACAUAGAUUUAUAGGAAUUUCUGAGUGAGGAUUGUCCUUACGAACCUGUGGGGUCCUGACGUUUGAGCACCAUUCCUGUAACUGGCAGAGUGGUGAUGUUUUGUGCUGGGAUGUGAUUUAUGCAGAGAUCGGUGUCUCAUUUCUGAAUCUGUUUGGGCAUAGAAGCUCUUUCCAAAGAAGGUCUAGUUGCUGAAGAGAUCAGUGAGGUUUAUAUUUGGAGCAGUGCCUCGGGAACUGAUGGGGAUCGGCAGAGCUUUGCAGGAAAAUCUGCCCACUACCCGAUCGCAUUUGUCUGCCUUUAGCAAAAGCUAUCAACUUAAUGCUAAUUUAAAUUGUCACUUAGGCAUCUGUAGGUAUAAUUACAUAAAGCACUGUGCAUUAAAUUGAUUCCAAAUCCACGUUUGGAUGUACAGCCUUCAGAAAGACUACAUAUGGUAGCCUAUUUCCAACAUACGUUGGCCAUUGAAGAUCCAAAAUCAUUACACACCCUCUUUUUUUUUUUUUUCUUUCUUUUUUUUUUGCUCGAAAAAGCAACACUCUAAAUUUACACCAGGUUAGUAAUACUUUGGUAACAGUUCAGCUCCUACAGUGUCCCAUCAGUGUGUUUGGGAGGGGCUGCCCUCAUUUUGCUGACAGAUCCCAACUCUGCGGAUUACAUGAGUAAAUUGUGCCGGAUACAUGAAAGCUCACAAACGAAUUCAAACAGAAGCUCCUUAAAUCUUUGUGUUACAUGCUGUAAUUAAUCAUUGCUGCUAUGUAACACCUGGAGCCCAGCAGGACACCAAAUGCAAAGCAGGUCAGCCAGAGCCAGCCUAAAACUUGUGUGGAAAGCAAAGCCAGAAGGGAAUUCUUACCUGUCUGUGCCUUGCUCCUAUAUUUCCAGAGUUGUGUUCUUAUUUUAUCAUGCAAAGUGCAAUUUUAGAAGUACAACUUGAAAGAGAAACAAUUUCAGUCACCCAAAGCUCCCAGAGUGGAUCUGGUCUGAGCGUGUCCCGUGAGGGCAGCCCUCCUGUCCCUCACUGAGGAGUCAGCAGUCAUGUUGUACAGGGAGAUUCACGUGGGGUGCUCUGCUGCUGCUGAGGUAGUUUGCAAAAGGGAGAUAGUAGUUGUCCUUGACAACUCUGCAAAUUUGUCCUUGAAAAAAAUGCUAAUUCCUAGUUCCGGCUCUCAUUGCAACUCCCGCAGCACUCGGUACAUUUUUUGUUUUCCAUUUAAAAGCCUUUGCAGGUCAUCUCCCCUUGUUUCCAAACAUCCCAGCCACCCUGCAGUUCCCCAGGAGGUUCUGCAGCUGAGUGCAGCAUGUCAGGGAUGUCCCAGGGCAAACAGGAAGGGACAGAGCCUCAGAGGAUCCCUAAACAUGAGCGAUGGAUGCACAGAGCCCACCAAAUGGGAGACAUGUCAGAUUCACUGCCUGUCACUUUUCUCUCUUCAGUAUCUCCUUUAGAUAUGUGUUACUGUCCUUAAAGCCCCUUAAGGCUUUAAGAUUCGCCUGAAUUUGCUUGCCAAAGUCCUGCUUCUGAGAUGUCUCUUCUUAAUUUCCUCACAGUCCUGUGGGUUUCACAGCCUAAUAUAUUUUUAAAUCCCUCCUUUGACAUUUGACACUGUUUCACUGUAAGUUCUCCUCCCAAAUCCCAGCUCCUCAGGGGUGAAGAUGCUCUGGGUUUGUGGGUGAGACAUCAGGUAUUGGUGGCUGUUAGUGAAUGGCUCUUCAGAGAUGUUGUCAGAUGGCUCUGCCUCUCUCGCUCUCUUUUUGUAGCCCAGUCUUGUUUUACUUGGAUAUUUUUGCUCACCUUUCCCUUGUCUUUUGGGGUCCUUCUUAGAAUUUGGAUAUUUCAUUGUUUCACUCUGUUUAUAAGCAAAAAGGCAGCUAUCACUUGGAGUUCAGCCCUGUGUAGUCAGGAGAAGCAGCAGCUGGUGCUGGAGGAGGCCUCCUGAGAGGCUGAAAGGAGAGAUGGGCCUCCACAGCUGACUUUUGGCUGCUCUUUACACUGAUGGGCUUUGGUACCAACAUGGAGACAACUCUUGGGUGACACCAAGCUGUGUGAUGUGGUCAACAUGUCUGAGGGAUGGGAUGCCAUCCGGAGAGACCUAGACAGGUUCGAGCACUGAGCCCAGGUGAACCUCAUGAGGUUCAACGAAGCGUAGUGACCCUCUGCUCUGCUCUGGAGUACUGCAUCCAGAUAUGGAGUCUUCAGUACAGGAGAAACAUGGAGCUGUUGGAGCACGUCCAAAGGAGGGCCACAAAAAUGAUCCAAGGGUUGGAGCAUCUCCCCUGUGAGACAGGCUGAGAGAGCUGGGGCUGUUCAGCCUGGAGAAGAGAAUGCUCCAGGGAGACCUGAGAGCAGCCUUUCAGAAGCUAUAAGAAAGAAGGGCACAGACUUUUUAGCAGAUUCUGUUGUGAAAGGACAAGGGGAAAUGGUUUCAAACUAAAAGAAAGGAGAUUUAGAUUGGAUAUAAGGAAGUUUUUACAGUAAGGGUGGUGAAUCAUUGGAGCAGGUGGCCCAGAGCGGAGGUGGAAGCCCUGUCCUUGGAGACAUUCAAGAUCAGGCUGGACGGGACUCUGAGCAACAAGGUUUAGCUGUAGGUGCCCCUGUUCAUUGCAGGGGGUUGUAUUAGAUGGCCUUUAAGGGUCUCUUCCGACUCAAAGGAUUCCAUGAUUCUUACAGGGUUUCCUUGUGAGACAUCCCUUUCUGCCCAGUCUUUCUCUGCUGAUGUUGUUCCAUUGGCAUGGCAGCAGGUGACGUGAUCCAGGUGCUCUUCACUGAAUGGCCAGUCCAAUGCUAUGGUGCUACCAUCAUCUGAGUUUUGUCCUUUCUCUGAUACUGCUGUGCAGAGCAACACACGGGUGCAACGCGUGGCAGGGAGAGGGUUUCAUCUGUUGGCAUGGUUUGA